ensembl:lncRNA
AACAGAAAAAUCAGCAUUUAAUAUGUCUAUAUAGACAGCAAUCAGGAUCAUAAGUAAAGUGUUUUAAAAUUUGACAUAGAAUACAGGAGUCCGAGAAUUGAAAUCCACUUUGAAAUUUAUUCCAAUAAUUUGGCAUAAAGUUUAGGACCAUGACUCCAGAUGCACCCAUCCAAGCUGUAUAAUUAAAGCCAAUGACAGCCGAAUUAAAUAACAUUCAUCAUUUCAACACAAUGCAACGCUCUACUGGGAAAUCUUGUGUACUGGCAUUCAUGUGGAUGUUACUUGACAUGUACCACCCACCUGACCAAAUACAUAAUUCCAUGUAAUGGCACUCCAAAGAUCAGUGGCCUUCUGCAGCCUGCCAGCCUGUGAAAACUGUCCAGAAAUUGCUUGAGGAACAUAACAAAGAACCUAAAUUGUUGACCUUGCCUCCAAACUCCCCAUAUCCCAAUCCAAUCAAACAGCCGUGGGAUGCACCAGAACGAGCCAGAACACAACUGAGCCCCCACGUUGCAACCCACUCAAAGGGUUCACUGCCAACAUCCAGCUGCCAGAAUGAGGUUCAUUCUCCAUAACCCGAUAGGUUAGAGCAGUUGUGGGGAUGCGAAAGGGCCAUACCCAAAAAUUAAAAAAAUAAUAUUACUUUUGCAUCUCUUUUAGUGUCAGGUUGACAUUUGGUAGUUUUGAUUAAUUUAAAAAAAAAAAAAAAAAACUAUCAAGUGGGACGGCAUGAAAUUUGCCUGACACAUUUAUUUCUCUCCCAAAAUGUACUCCCCUCAAAAUAAAUCUCUCACUCUAUCACUGUCAUGUUAUCUAGCAGCACCAAAUGUUCACAAGCUAACAUGCCAAAUUAAGAGAGAGAAACCUGUCAAACAUUACAUCUGCAUCACUACUUAUGGCUGUCAAGGUGACAAUAUCAUUUACCUCAAAGGCCGGUUGUACCACUUCCCCUGCCAGUGGCAGACGCCUGCAGGCAUCGGCGCGUUGGUGGUUCUUUGUGUCUGGGGAUGGGCGUCCGGGUACCCACCGGCUCACUCCUUGGUGGCUGCUUGUCGGGGCCUGGAGCCUGGGGCUCGCUCGGGCCACUUCGGGGGUGGGGUGCCCUCGGCCUCCUGGCCUGGGGCUCGGUCACUCUGGCAUAGCUGGCUGCCGGCGGAGCUCACGGGCACGUCGCUGCAACCCCCCCUGGCCUCUGCUCCGCGGAUACUGAGUGACCCCUCAUAUGGGGCUCUCCUCAGCUCUUUCUGGGAUGGUGGCGCGGUUGCCCCUCUGUUGGUCUUCCUUGGUCUCUUGUGUUCUGAGGGCCUCUGGAUGUCUGGAGUCUUGAUCUCCUCCAUACCUGCUUCAUGCCCUGGAGGACGGGGCUGCGGCUCCCCACACCCUCUAGCAGAUCAUUACAUAAUAAUAAUAAUAAUGGAUUGGAUUUAUAUAGCGCUUUUCAAGGCACCCAAAGUGCUUUACAAUGCCACUAUUCAUUCACUCUCGCAUUCACACACUGGUGAAUGCAAGUGUGUGAAUGGUGAACAUGAAGGAACCUUUUAAAUACAAGCGCUCAUGCUCACGGGUGUACACACGGGUGCUCACACACACAAACUACACUCUUUUUGGCUCCUACCUCAAAUCACACUGUGCGCUGUCGAUCUUACAUGCUGCACAAUAAUGUUUAAUAUUUAGUAUUUACUGUUACAUUCCCAUAGAUCAUCGUGAUGUUGUUUAUUAUGUUGGUCUUUUUUUUCUUUCUUCUGCUUGUUUUCUCUUUUUUCUUUCUCAACAGGUGAUCCAGGUGAUUGAUAUAUGUAUUUUUUGUCUGCUUAUUUUGUUGUUUUUUUGUUUUUUGCCCUUUAUCCCCAUGCCUCUUCCCUGCUGUUUUUCUUUCCCUCUUUCUUUCUCCCCUUUCUUUUCCCCAGGCAAGUCUGUCCCGUAUUUAACAAGUAAAAAUAAAAUAAACAAUAAAAGGUCAAUCAAAUGGAACAAUACGGCAAGGCUGGGAUGGUCCAUUUGGUAAAGUAAAUCCGUUGGGCAUCUUUCUUCACCUUUAGACAAUAAUUCUGAUGGCAAAAGAGCCAAAUGGGACAGGCAAAACAAAACAAAACAAAAAAACAAAAAAAAAACAAAGGCCGGUUGUAGUCUUCUGAAACUGUGGUAAAAAUGAAACCUUGUAGAGUCCAAAUGACUCUUACAAAGUUUUCGUUUUUCUUCGGAGUUUAGAAAAAUGCCCCAGCUGAAACACACCUACUUAGCAAUUUGCCUAGAAAUACGCUGGGAGCUGACUGCAUAAUCAGCUUUUGUAAGUUGGGUAAAUUUGCAACUUGAAUGAUUUAGGAAAUUUUAAUGAACUUGUAACUAGUUUAAAAAAAAAAAGUCCUGUGAUUUCAUGGUAAUAAAUAUUCCCCCUUUUCCCCUCCCCC